GAAGAAGAAUUUAAUACUUCCUGAUUUUUUUCCCAGUAUGUUAGUCAAUAGUCAGCAUUCAGAUUACAUAUUAUGGAUAAAUUUUGUUGCCAAGUAAUUGUUUUACUCUUUUUACAUUAGUUUUAGAUAUGUUGCCCAAAAGAGUUGUUUUUUUCUUUCUUUUCUUUCAAAUGUUUCUCUCAUCAGGCAUCACUAUAAAACCGUUCUUUCUCUAUCUAGCUUUCAAUAUCUAAAAUUGCUCGUAACAAAAUAUAUAUUAAUCUUCUAAUUGUUUCACAAGUCAUGGCCAAACUACUCUUUUCGUAUCUAUUCAUCUGCAUGUUUGUUCUCUCAGGCUUUUUGGCUUCUUCGAGUGCACAGGAGGUCAGAGAAUGUAGGACGGUCAUAGACCUAGGCAAGCAAUGCGACUUUCAAACAUGCCGAAUGACUUGUAAACGAGUUUUCGCCGACGAAUAUGCGUUUGGAUUGUGUCUAGGAAGCAAAGAAAAAGCUGUUUGUACUUGUUUGUACAAUUGCAAAGCUUAAACAUAUCAUGUAUGUUGUUAAGCUAGAGCAAAAAUCUUUAAUGUUAAGUGCCUUAAUCAGUUUGAUCCCAUGCAUUUAAUGUGUAACUGGAGGAUAUGAAUAAAAAAAUAUUUUAAAAUAUUUAUCUGA